rnacentral:tRNA from 1 species
GCGGGCACAGCUCAGUGGUAGAGCACGUGCUUAGCAUGCACGAGGUCCUGGGUUCAGCCUCCAGCACCUCCA